CAGCUCAGUUAAGCACUCCAGUUAUAAAUACAAAUAUAUCCUAAACAAAUAGAAUUCAGGAGCAACAGUCAAAAAGUGACGUCAUAAAAACCAAAGAAGAAAUAAAAACAGAACCCAAUGGGACAGACCUUAGUUAUGAGGAUCUGGAGGGAGCUAUUGGGUACACGCCCCCCAA